rnacentral:misc_RNA from 1 species
GAAAUGCGAUAAGUAAUGUGAAUUGCAGAAUUCCGUGAAUCAUCGAAUCUUUGAACGCACAUUGCGCCUUUUGGUAUUCCGAAAGGCAUGCCUGUCCGAGCGUCAUUGCAACCCCUUCAAGCUCAGCUUGUGUGUUGGGCGGUCGUCCUCGCUGGACGCGCCCCAAAGGCAGUGGCAGCUCCGUGCAUCGGUGCCCGAGCGUAUGGGCUUUAGUUAACCCGCUCUAGUGGCCCGGCCGGCGCUGGCCCCCUAAGUCUUAACUGGACUCCGGUUAAGGUCUUAACUCAAUCUUCGUGGUUGACCUCGGAUCAGGUAGGGAUACCCGCUGAACUUAA